ensembl:misc_RNA Y_RNA Y RNA
GGCUGGUCCGAAGUAGUGAGUUAUCUCAACUGAUUCUUCACAAUUGCAGAUGGAACUCCUUGUUCUUCUCUCUUCCUGCUUCUCACUACUGGACCCAGCUGGUCUUUU